AAGUGUGCGCUGUGGCCGAAGGAAACGGCGCGAUGGCGACGGAGCCUGUGAAGGGAGUCAUGAAAGGGGUGGUGGAAGGCGAAGAGAUUCGUACCAAAGACAAGGAACCCCGGGCAGCGGAAGGAGCAGCGGAUUCUUCGCGUUUCUCCAUUGCGCGGUCGCUUCGCCCGCCGGACUUUUACAUCCCGGAGAAGCUCUUGCUGCGCGCGCUGUUAGGCCUGCAGGAUGAGGACCUCCAAAAGUUCAGCCGCAAACUCGGCACUUUCGAGGCCCCUCUCCGUAUCUCCCGGGCGCAGGUAGAAGCAGCGGAUGUCUCCAGGCUCCGCGAUUUGCUGCUCUGCAACUACGGUUGGUUCGAUGCCCUGAGGAAGACCGGCAAAGCAUUGAGGAUUAUCGGCAGAGUGCGCCAGGGUAGAUGGCUCGGUUCAGGUACAGAGGGGUUCUGGAUCCCGAACUGCCUGGAACACGCGCUGGAGAGCUUAGACGGUGGCGAUCUGGAAAGGUUCAACGAAAGAGUAGUUGAAAGAAGAAGAAAAAAAGAGACUUGCUCUUUCUCCGAGAGGUCGCCAGAACCAAUAGAAGAUGUGCCAGAAAUCUGCAGCCUGCUGCUAGCGGAGUAUGGCUGGUCUCGUGCCUUGAGGGUGAGCAGUGAAGAACUGGAAGCCAUGAACCGGAAGGAGGAGGCAGGCUGGCUGAGGCUGGUCGAGAGUUGUGGGGACGAUUCCGAAUUCCUGCAAUACGCGCUGGAGACCUUGGACGAGAAGAGUCUGGAGAAGUUCAAGAGCUGCUUGCGUAACCUCUGUGAGCAAAGAGAGUCUGGCGCUGUCCUGGGGGGACUGGGGUCAGGAGGAAGAAUAAGGGAGCUCCUUGGCAGCCAGGGCCCAGUAGAUGCUGGCGAGUUCAGCAGGUGUCUCAUUGGCUGCUACGGCAAGAUUGAGGCCCUGGAAGUGGUGGCUGAUGCUCUGGAGGCCAUCGACCAGAAACGCCAGGCGAGAUGGCUCAGACUGUAUAUAGCAGCUCGCGACCCGUGGAAAUACCUGGAGGAAACCCUGGUAGACUUGAGGAAUGAAGAGCUGCAAGAACUCAAGCGUUGCCUCUUCUCCCCACACUCCUGGCAACCUGUCAACUGGGGAAGGGUGAAACCAGCAGAUGUGCCAGAGUUCUGCGAUUUGCUGCAAGAGUUGUAUGGUAAUUUUGUUGCCUUGGAUGUGGCCAGUGAAAUAUUAGAAGUCAUUGGCCAGAAGCAUCAGGCUGACUGGCUCAGGUUAGCUAUGCUGGGGUUCCGCCCCAGGAAAUGUCUGGAUUGUGUACUGCAGCAUUUGGGGCAGGAGAAUCUGGAAACAUUCAAGGGAAAACUGCGUGACCAUCNGAGAGGAAAGGGUUCUGACCUUGACUCCAUUUGGGAGAAAUAUGAAANAGAAACCCUGGGAUUAUCAGAUGCCAGUGAGCUUAGCAGAUNCCUCAUUCACUUCUAUGGUGAGGAUGAAGCCUUGGAGGUGGUAACCAAAGUGCUGGAUGCCAUGAAUGAGAAACAUGAGGCUGCCUGGCUCAGGAUGUNUAUGGAAGAGCGUGAUGCAUGGAAACACUUGGAGGAUGCUUUGUCUAGCCUGGGAGAAGAAGACCUGGAGAAGUUCAGGUGCAAUGUUCUGCAGCAAUCAGAGUACAAGGGUUUCCCCCUUCUCUCCAAGGCAUGGAUGGAGAGAACAACCAUUCUGCGGGUCGUUAAGGUGAUGUUCAGUUUCUAUGGCCAAGGNCCCGCCCUGGAGAUCGUGGGGGAGGCGCUGAAGACAAUGGGCUGCAAAUCCUUGGCAGAGAGACUGUCACCUUCCUCCAGGAUAGAUUUUCCAGUCGGACUGAAGAAGAUUUCACAUGUUGUAGCGCCACAGUCAAAAACUCCAACCCUUUCAGGCAUAGAAAUAAUUAGAAAGAGACAGAAACCUGCAUAUUUUUUGGGAAACUUUGUUUGUGACCAGUGUGGUAAGGAGGUGAGCUUCCCUGUUUUGUUUU
rnacentral:lncRNA from 1 species